rnacentral:misc_RNA from 1 species
GAUGAAGAACGUAGCGAAAUGCGAUAGGUAAUGUGAAUUGCAGAAUUCAGUGAAUCAUCGAAUCUUUGAACGCACAUUGCGCCCUUUGGUAUUCCUUAGGGCAUGCCUGUUCGAGCGUCACUACACACCUUAUCACAAUAUUUGUGGUCUUGGCAGGAGUGAAUUGCUGGUCUAUGGAAGUAUUCCAGCAGUACACAAUGCUAAAAAAUAUGGGAAGGUUACCAGAUAUGAACAACAGACUUUGUAAAUGGUUGCAGGACCUAGAUCAGUCACAAGUCAUGUCUGGUCCCUUACCUUAAGGACCCCCAUCCUAGAUGAACUAUGGGUUGACCUCGGAUCAGGUAGGAAUACCCGCUGAACUUAAGCAUAUCAAUAAGCGGAGGA